UAAAAAAUGCAGCAAAUAGCGGCUGUUGAUGAAAACUGCAAAAGAAUUCAGAGUUACUUCAUAUUGAAACUAAAAUCUGGUUCAUAAUAUAAUCAGUUUAUAAAGAUAAUUUUUUUCCAUCACGUUACCACAGUUGAAAAGUUUAAUCGAUUAAAAAGGACCGAAACUUUCAGAAAAUGCUCAAUGAACCUUCCACCAGAUUCACUGAUUGAGUAGUUGAACAGAUUAAUAAUAAUGUACUUGAACCUUCAGCAAGAAGAUGGCAUGGAAAUUUCCAAAAUAUAGGUUUGUGGACUCCGGGAUUGGUAUCUACAGAUAGUGAAUGGGACACAAUUAGGUAAGGCGCAAUCCUGAGUUACAAUACGCUACAAGUCUCGUUGCUACAAACUGUUUUUGGAAUACUUAAGCUUGAGAAAAGGUACUGUAAAAAUUUCAAUAUAUUCUACUGUAAAAAGCAAAUAUAAUGCAAAAAUUCUUUUCUGAAAAACUAUUCAAAUGGGGAACUAAACAGGAUAAAAUGUUAGCAUGAAUAAAAUAUAAAACAACAAAAUUAAAGCACGAUUGCAUCUAUGAAUAUUAAAAAUUUCGGAAAUCGUCUAUCAUUCCUGACAAGUCGUCAUUUCAAUUUUCAGUCCACCACUUACAGUCCUACUUAAAAUUACUUACUUCGUAUACGUAUGUAUGUAUGUAUGUACAUACCUCUAUCAUUUAUAGAAACCAGUAGAAAUAUAAACACUAUAUAUUUAAAAUGUCAUCCUUUUACAUCUUUUUUUUAUUAUGGAAAAAUCACUUCAACAAGAAAAUACCUUUUUAUAACUUUUACUUCUUAAACAGAAUUUCUUACAUCUGUACAAGACAAAAUUAAUGACGAGAUGUAUAGAUAUGUCUUUGAAUCAGGUCAUUUUUUUUACAAUAUCUUAAAAAUAUAAUGGAUAAGCCUUUUCAUAAUCCCUGCUUUUGCUAUCAAAGUAUCAAAAGCAACAGACAUCAAAAAAAUUAAUUAAUUAAUAAGAAUUUCUUAAUAUGUGAUUAGAGAAGACAUAAUUUAAAUAGGUCACCUUAUAUCGUAAACAAACUGAACCUCCGGUUAUAGUUACAGUUACGAAUAUCCAUUAGUCCAUAGGUCUUAAAAAUCGAUAUUUCCCCGUUUCUGUUGCGAGAUUGGUAUAAAUCCUUAGUAUAUUAGGUACUUCCCCAGUCGUAUUAGCUUAAAAAUCGUUCAUAGUGUCCUAUUGUACACAUUCAUACGUAAGUGUAAUGUAGCAAUGUUUCAAAUUCAAGAAUUAAACGAUGGCUACAAUCUAUUUAUUUUUUUAAUUAGAGAUUAUUACGUAUUAAAUAUAACUGUCAAUCUAUUCCGAGUACAUGGAGAAUUGAAAAGAGUUUACUAAUGUCCUUAAGAUAUACUUUUCAUAUACAUAUUAAUUUAGAAAUAGCUGCUCCACUAUGUCACGCUAAAACUUUUUUGUAUUAAUUUUAAAAUACAUAUUAAUAAAAUAAAUAUAAUGACUUAAUAAUAAAUAGUUUAUAAAUGUGGUUUCCUCCAUUAUAAUUUAUUGGAGGAACGUAGAAAAAAACAACCUUCACAGGGUGAGUAAAGACGACAAACCGCCUCACCACCCUUCCUUACCCGCUUCUCGUGAAGUUGAAUUCAACACAAUUAUACAUAACUAUUUGAGUGAAAAAACUAAUGAGUAUAUGUUAACGUUAUUACUAUACAUAUGUAUUAUGAUCGCAUAAAGAAGCAAUAAUAAAGGUUUAAACUAUUAUUAACUAUUGUUUUCGAUCCUCCAUAUCCUCGGAACAUAUUAACAGAAAUAAUUUUUCAGGAUCUCAAACAUUUAUUAUAUUGAAUAUAACGUUCGUUAACGUGAACAAAUCGAUAACCUGAACACCUGUUUUUUUUUCGGUUCACACUAUCGAGUAUCUACUGUACGUAACAAAAACUAAAAAUUUUAAUACAAUACAUAUUUUUAUUUUGCAUAUACCUUUAUGAAAACUUAAAUACACGGCCAUUCUAUUAAGUAUUUCAUCUAUUUUACAAUAUAUAAUAAGCAAAUACGAUCAUCUUAACGAUUAGCUUUAAUGAAGUUAAUUAAUCCGUUUGUG
rnacentral:lncRNA from 1 species